rnacentral:lncRNA from 1 species
AAACCUUCGAAAAUCACGUCGGGAAACUUCACCAAAACCGGCCACCUUCGAACUAGGGUGUCCCGACGUCCAAAACUUAUAAACGAACGUCCCCGAGCUUCGUGGGAACUUCCUAAAGCUCACUAUGAGCUUGGAUUGUCCAGAAAAUGGUACCUUUGAGUUCGUAGGGCACUCACGAACACAUUGGUGCUAAUCUCCACUUCGAUCCAUGAAGUUUUGAUGGUCCUUGGGUGUGGUCCAUACAAUUUCGAAGGAAGAGAGAAAGAGUGGCAAAGAAUGAGGAGAGAGAGAGGGCACGGAGAAAGAGAAAGUGUCCCUUGUGUGUGGUCCAUCCCAAAACAAUCACCAUUAAUUUUUCUUAAGUCCCUAACCACACAAAACACAUACAACCUUUAAUCAAAAUUCAAACUUUCCAAAACUUAGGGAAAUAUGCAUUGUUCAAUAAUAUGUCACACACCUACCUUAGCACCAGUCAAGGAUAAUUUCGUCAUUUCACAACCUCGAUAAAAAGAAUCACGGGACGGGCUGUGACAAUCUUCCCCCUUAUAGAAUUUCAUCCUCAAAAUUCAUGCAACCAAACAAGCCAUUAAUAUUCAUAAAACAACCUCGGAUACAUCUCUCUCAUUCGAUCUUUUGUCUCCCAAGUAGCUUCUUCUACUGAGUGGUUCCGCCACAAUACUUUUACCAAGCUCACAGUUUUAUUCCUUAGAACUUUGUCUUUCCAAUGCAAGAUAGUCACUGGUUCCUCAUCAUACGUCAAAUCCGGAUUAAUCACCAAAGGUUGAGGAGGAAUCACAUGUGAAGGAUCUGAAAUAUAAUGUUGAAGCAUCGAGACAUGAAACACAUUAUGUACUUUAGAUAACUCCGGAGGCAACUUCAAUCUGUAAGCAACUUUACCAAUCCUCUCAGUGAUCUCAUAUGGUCCUAUGUACCUAGGACUUAGCUUGCCUUUCUUUCCAAACCGCAUUACACCUCUCCAAGGUGACAAUUUCAAGAAUACCAAAUUACCCACAUCAUAUACUCGAUCAAUAGCAUGUCUAUCUACUAAACUCUUUUGUCGAUCCUGGGCCGUUUUCAGGUUAGACUUAAUCACCUGAACAUUUUGAGUAGUCUCAUCCACAAUCUCUGGGCCUUCUAACACUCUUUCGCCAACCUUUGACCAACACAAUGGCGUACGACAAGCUCUACCAUAAAGUGCCUCAAAUGGUGAUAUACCAAUGCUCGAAUGAAAACUAUUAUUGUAGGCAAAUUCCAUCAAGUCUAGGCGAUCAUGCCAAGAAUCACCAAACUGUAACACUGAAGAUCUCAACAUAUCCUCCAACGUCUGAAUAGUCCUCUCUAAUUGUCCAUCGGUUUGAGGAUGAUAAGCCGUGCUGUAAAGUAGUUUCGUACCAAGAGCUUCUUGAAAAGCUACCCAAAACUUAGAAGUAAAUCUUGGAUCUCGAUCAGAGAUAAUAUUCACUGGAACUCUAUGAUACUUCACAAUCUUCGUAAUGAACAACUUAGCCAAUUUAUUCAGGGGAUACUUUUCCCUCACGGGAAUGAAGUAUGCUGACUUGGUAAGCCGAUCUACAAUCACCCAAACACCAUCAAAUCCAUUUCGUGUACGAGGAAGCCUAUACACAAAAUCCAUAGUUAUAUUUUCCCAUUUCCACUGAGGAACGGGAAGUGGUUGCAUCUGCCCAAAAGGCUUCUUUCUUUCUGCUUUGACUUGCUGGCAAACAAUACACCUACUUACAUAUUCUGCAAUUUUCCUUUUCAUACCCGGCCAAUAAUAAAAUGGUCGAAUGGUAUGGUACAUCUUAGUUCCUCCUGGAUGCAUCGCAUAAGCCGAACAAUAUGUUUCAUCCAAAAUUUCUUUCUUUAGUUCCUCAUUAUUCGGCACAUACAUUCUGUUCUCCUGCAUAAGCAUGCCAUCUGAUUCUCGAAUCCUGAGGUCUUUCUUUUUCCCUUCACUUCUUAAUUGAAUCAUUUCUUGAAUUUCUUCAUCAACCAUCUGAACUUCAAGUACACGAUCAACCAAAACUGGCCUGACUUGGAAACUAGCAAGAAAAGCUUCUCUUUGUUCUUCUAACUCUAACUUUACUCCAGUAGCUCUCAAAUCUGCAAGAAGAGGAACACGACAAGCAUACAACGUAUUGAGUCGACCUUGAGGUUUCCUACUCAGUGCAUCAGCUACCACAUUUGCACGACCCGGAUGAUACUCAAUAGUGCAGUCAUAAUCACUUAGUAACUCCAUCCACCUUCGUUAACGAAGAUUAAGAUCAUGCUGAGUGAAAAGAUAUUGAAGACUCUUAUGGGCACGAUGAAAAGUAACUGACUUCCCAUAAAAAUCUAUAUGGGCACGAUUAUAAUGCAACCAAUCUGCCCCUAAAAUCACAUCAAAAUCCAUGAUAUCUAACGGGAUAAGAUUAGCUGGCAUAACUACACCAUCUACCAUCACUGGACAUCUUGGAUAAACACUAUCAACAUAACAUUUGUCCCCUCUAGGCAUAGCAAACUCUAAAUCAAAUCCUAGAGGUGUAGGGUGAGGUUGAGUCAUUUGAGCAAAUGUAUGAGAAAUCACAGAAUGUGCAGCACCACAAUCAAUCAAAACUCUAGCAAAAUGACCAAGAAUAUUUAACGUACCCAUAAUCAAAUCUGGAUGGUUCUGAGCAUCUUGCAGUGAUAUGUGAUUAACACGUCCAUGAGCUUGCUGUCGUCCACCACGACCUCUGUUGCCUUGGUUACCUCGCCCCUGAGAAGUACGUCCCUGUCCUGACUGAUUAGACUGCCUAGAUGGUCCUCCACCGCUAGCAGCAACCUCUCCCUGUCGGGGCUGACCUCUCUGAUGCCACUGAGAUCCGCUAGCUGGCAUGGAAGGAUAAGAAGUAUAACCUCCAAGGUCUUGGGAAUACCCAGUCUGAGAAUAAGGAUCCUAGGAAUAGUGAUAUUGUCCGGAAGUAUAGGGAGCAGCAUCACCCUGAUAGUGGUAAGCAUCAUCACGACCCGUCUGACCAUAACUGCCUGAUCCAAAAUUCUGCUGAAUCGGCGCUGGAGGUAGCAUAGCACACUGCUGAGAUCUCUGCUGACUCUGGGGACAUUGAGCAUCCCUAUGUCCCAUCUGUCCACAAGUGUAGCAAGCACCACCACUUCUCCUACACUCUCCAUGAUGUCUGAAAUUACAACGGAGCACCAGAACCACCAGCACCAUCAAAAUCUCUCUGUCUCUAAAACCUGGGUCCACCAGCAAAUCUUCCACCUCUUCUCAGGCCUGUGACACUAAAUCCUCCACUGGAAGAACUCGAGCUCGCUGCACUUUUCUUGAAAUUAUGUGUCUUACGGGGUCCCUGAGUGGAGAUACCUUUACCCCUAUCAUAUUUCUUCUGAUUAUCAUUUUUAUCUUCAUCAUCCUCACUAUUACUAAGAAGGUUGUCAGAAUCCUCCAUCCAAACCAAAAUCUCAGAAAACUCAUGAUAAGUGGUGCAAGGAAGCGCACUAGCAAAAGUCCGCCAUUUCCUCUUAGUUCCCAGCUUAAAACGGCGAAGCAUCUCUGCCUGAUUACCAGCUGUAUCAGGGUCAUAACGAGACAAGUCUGUAAACUUCCUGUAAUACUCAUGCGUCGACAUAUUCUUUUGCUUCAAUUGAGUGAACUCAUGCUUCUUACGAUCAAUGUACUCCGGAGGGACAAAUCUUUUCUUAAAAUUCUUUUUGAAUACUUCCCAAUCAGCUGCCAUCUCAGGAAACAUAAACUGAGUCUGAUUUACCCACCAAGCUGCUGGCUCUCACCCCAAAAACCAAGUAGUGGUCUCAACCCAUCUAUUAGCAGGAAGAUUCCCUUGACCCUGCAUCACCUGAAAAGUCUUCUCAAUAUGGUCUAGCCACUUUUCUGCCCCUUCAUGACCUUCAUUACCCAUGAAACAGUCCAAUUUCAGAUUAUACAUAGUCUCCAGGGGUGUCCUCUGAGGAAGAGGGGGACAGAUUGCAUUCUGAAAAGCAUGGGCCGUCGCUUCCCCUAAUUGAGUUAUAUCAGGGAAAUUAGGCUCAGAAGCAUGACGUGAUUCCCUACGAGGCGGCAUAGUUCUGACAGAAGACAUCAAAAGAUCAUUAGAGCAUUAACAAUUUAUACAGGACUGCAACCUAGGCUCUGAUAGCAAACUGACACACCCCGAUCCUAGAAUUAAGGCGUGCUGGCCGUCACGUGGGCAUGACGUAACCAAAAGUGCGACGCGGAAGCAAUAGAUAAGAGAAAUACGAAUAAACAAAAACCAAAUACUAGCAAUAAUAACCAAGUAACGUGCUAGAGUAAGUUCAAGUGUGAAACACACAAAUUCAGAGCAUAAGUACUAGGUGCAGUCAAGUAGGACCAUAACUAAAUUACAAUACCCGCAGGUGAGUCAUACAUUUAUGUAGUCUGUCAGUACGCCGUGGGAAUCCUCGUCGGCCAGCAACGCUGCUAACUAGAACCUGGAGGGGCGCAAAACAAAAUUGAGUGGGUCAAUAAAACCAAAGUUUUUCAAAAACAUUUCAUUUAAAACAUUUCUAACCCCUCGCUGUAAAACCUGUAUACUUUCCCAGAAAAUAACAUAAUAUGCAUAUAAUCUUCAUAUAUCUCAAAUCACAAUUCUUUAUUAAAACCCAGAAAAUAUGUCAUGCCAUAAAUGUCAAUAACAGAUUAAGAAUGCAUCAAUAUAAGGUGACAUAAUGAAUCAACCGGAGACCCUGCAGUUGGUCCUGUACGGUUAAUUCCAUAGCUCAAUAUCCCAACCAACCGGAGUCACCACGGUGACUUGUACGGCACUACUCUGCACAUAAGUCGGAACUACCUGAAGUAGUCUGUACGACAAGAAUGGUGUAAUAAUACGCUCUAGUGCUUCUCUCAUCAAUCAUCUGUGCACAUAAUCUACGGUCACCUACCAGUCGGAACCACCUCUAGUGAUAUGUACAACUAGCAUGUCAGAACCUUCUCAUGGUUUGUACGACAUGCACCUACUUAGAUCCAAGGUGAGCGUGCGGUGCGGUGAAUAUUAUAAGCACUAACACCAGGGGUGCAGGUUAUGAGCUCUUAACACAAUUCACAUUACAAUAAAUCAUAUGAACAAUCUAAACUUACCUGAUACUCACAUGUGCGUCCACAGCACCAUUUCACAUAUAUAUGCAUCAAUUACUAAUUCAUAUAAUUCAUAAUAUGCAUGCAUGGCAUUAGAAAAACAUACUUUUAUUUAAAUUCAAUUUUUGGGAAAUUCAGUAAUAUAUAGGUAAUAACAGAAAAUAACUGCCCACUCACUGAUAAGUCGAAGGGUUGUAACCCCCGUGACGUCCCUGGAUGCGCUCAUCCUCGGGAUAGGUAUCACCUCUUUGGAGCCUCAAAACCUUCGAAAAUCACGUCGGGAAACUUCACCAAAACCGGCCACCUUCGAACUAGGGUGUCCCGAUGUCCAAAACUUCCAAACGAACGUCCCCGAGCUUCGUGGGAACUUCCUAGAGCUCACUAUGAGCUUGGAUUGUCCUGAAAAUGGUACCUUUGAGUUUGUGGGGCACUCACGAACACAAUGGUGCUAAUCUCCACUUCGAUCCAUGAAGUUUUGAUGGUCCUUGGGUGUGGUCCGUACAAUUUCGAAGGAAGAGAGAGAAGAGUGACAGAGAAGGAAGAGAGAGAGAGAGGGCACGAGGAAGGAGAAAGUGUCCCGUGUGUGUGGUCCAUCCCAAAACGAUCACCAUCAAUUUUUCUUAAGUCCCUAACCAUACAAAACACAUACAACCUUUAAUCAAAAUUCAAACUUUCCAAAACUUAGGGAAAUAUGCAUUGUUCAAUAAUAUGUCACACACCUACCUUAGCAAUAGUCAAGGAUAAUUUCGUCAUUUCACAACCUCGAUAAAAAGAAUCACGGGAUGGGCUGUAACAAGGAGUGUAGCUGUAAAAAAUCAACAAAAUCGGAGUUAAAAUAACCAUUAAAUCGUGAUUUUUUUAUUUAUAACCGUCAAAAAGUUUUAUCUCCUUACUUGAUCUCUGAAUGUUUGUUUUUUUGCAAUUUUUGACAUAUGCAAUCUCGAAGCAUAUAUAAACAAGUUUGACAGUUGGAUCAUUGAAAUUAGUUUCGUAGAAUGCGUAUCCUUUCAAAAUGAUAGAUUUACUAACACUUAGAGUUUAUUUAUAUUUUCAUUAAGUAUAACAUAAGAAUUUAUCGUAUCCACUAGGAUAAAUAUUUUAAAUUUAAGAUCGAGCUCAUUCAUUGUAUUCAUAUAGGGUCAUGGAGUGUAGCUGUAAAAAAAUCAUCAAAAUCAGAGUUAAAAUCACCGUUAAAUCAUGAUUUUUCGUUUAUAACCGUUGAAAAGUUUUGUCCUGUUACUUGAUCUCUGAAUGUUUUUUUUUGCGAUUUUUGGCGUAUGCAAUCUCGAAGCAUAUAUAAACAAUUUUGAUGGUUGGAUCGUUGAAAUUAGUUUCGUAGAAUGCGUAUCCCAUCAAAACGAUAGAUUCAUUAGCACUUAAGAGUUUAUUUGUACUUUCAUUAAGAAUAACAUAAGAUUUGUGUGGUAUCCACUAAUAUAAAUAUUUUAAAUUGAAGAUCGAAUUCAUUCAUUGUAUUCAUAUAGGGUCAAGGAGUGUAGCUGUAAAAAAUCAUCGAAAUUUGAGUUAAAAUAACCGUUAAAUCGUGAUUUUUUGUUUGUAACCAUCAAAAAGUUUUGUCCCAUUACUUGAUCUCUGAAUGUUUAUUUUUUGUGAUUUUUGGCGUAUGUGAUCUCAAAGCAUAUAUAAAAAAGUUUAACGGUUGGAUCAAUGAAAUUAGUUUUGUAGAAUGUGUAUCUCAUCAAAAUGAUAGAUUCACUAACUCUUAGAGUUUAUUUAUACUUUCAUUAAGUAAAACAUAAGAAUUUGUGGUAUCCACUAGUGUAAAUAUUUUAAAUUGAAGAUCGAGCUCAUUCAUUGUAUUCAUAUAGGGUCAAGGAGUGUAGCUGUAAAAAAUCAUCAAAAUCAGAGUUAAAAUCACCGUUAAAUCAUGAUUUUUCUUUUAUAACCGUUAAAAAGUUUUGUCCUGUUACUUGAUCUCUGAAUGUUUGCUUUUUUGCGAUUUUUGGCGUAUGCAAUCUCGAAGUAUAUAGAAACAAUUUUGAUGGUUGGAUCGUUGAAAUUAGUUUCGUAGAAUGCGUAUCCCAUCAAAACGAUAAAUUCAUUAACACUUAAGAGUUUAUUUAUACUUUCAUUAAGAAUAACAUAAGAUUUGUGUGGUAUCCAUUAAUGUAAAUGUUUUAAAUUGAAGAUCGAAUUCAUUCAUUGUAUGCAUAUAGGAUCAAUGAGUGUAGCUAUAAAAAAUAAUCAAAAUCAGAGUUAAAAUAACCGUUAAAUCGUGAUUUUUCGUUUUCUAACCGUCGAAAAGUUUUGUCUCGUUAAUUGAUCUCUGAAUGUUUGUUUUUUUGCGAUUUUUUGCUGGUGUGAUCUCGAAGCAUAUACAAACAAGUUUGACUGUUGGAUCGUUGAAAUUAGUUUCGUAGAAUUCGUAUCCCAUUAAGUUCAAUGGUGUGUGUAUAUAUAUAUUUAUUAAGUAGAUUUAAAUUUAUUUAUUUUGUAUGUAUAACACUUAAUUGAAUGGUAUGUAUAUUUAAGCUGAUCCAGUGGUCACCAAUUUUU